AUUGAACGCUGGCGGCAUGCCUUACACAUGCAAGUCGAACGGUAACAGGUCUUCGGAAGCUGACGAGUGGCGAACGGGUGAGUAAUACAUCGGAACGUGCCUAGUAGUGGGGGAUAACUACUCGAAAGAGUGGCUAAUACCGCAUGAGAUCUACGGAUGAAAGCAGGGGAUCGCAAGACCUUGUGCUACUAGAGCGGCCGAUGGCAGAUUAGGUAGUUGGUGGGAUAAAAGCUUACCAAGCCGACGAUCUGUAGCUGGUCUGAGAGGACGAUCAGCCACACUGGGACGGGGACACGGCCCAGACUCCGACGUGAGGCAGCAGUGGGGAAUUUUGGACAAUGGGCGCAAGCCUGAUCCAGCAAUGCCGCGUGCAGGAUGAAGGCCUUCGGGUUGUAAACUGCUUUUGUACGGAACGAAAAGCCCCGGGUUAAUACCCUGGGGUCAUGACGGUACCGUAAGAAUAAGCACCGGCUAACUACGUGCCAGCCGCCGCCGUAA
rnacentral:rRNA from 1 species